ensembl:lncRNA
CGACACCAGAAGGAAUGCCGUUUAAAGGCUUUUAGUUUGAAGAGGACAUCAGGUGUUUUCCUGUUUAGUAGCCAUGUAUUGACGCAGUCGAGAGCUGAGAUGGAGAGCGCCUUGCGGUCGCAGUAGGGACAGCAGACUUGACACACACACACACAGCUACUGAAACGGACCCAGAGACAGCGCAGAGACAAAAUUAAAACCCUUUUGUUUCCUUCUCGACCCUUCAGCAGGCUCAUGGAGAGCCGAGUACUCUCGGUCCGCACCGGAGAAAGGUUGAUCGGAUGCCUUUCACCACAGCAGCGCCGUUAGAUGUGUUCCAUUCAGGAUUAAUUGGUUGACCAAUGGCUUCCAAACAUGCGCUCCUCUCCAGCAGCGGCAGCGGUGGCCCCGGGGUCGGAGAGGUGAAAAAUAAAGAAGACCCCUGCUUCUUUUCUCCUACGGCAUGGCUCCUGGAUGCAGGGAUGCUGGCCAACUACACGCCGCAGAAAGUGAAGAGGACACGGGCACUGGAUGGGAUGUUGGCUCGGUGGUUUGUGACCAUCGGCGCGGUGCUGAUGCUGAUGAUGCAGAGCUCCUUGGCCGCUGACGCUGACGGAGGUCACCAUGAGUCAAUGAGGCAGGCUGACUUGCCUCUGGACCACGCAGUGCCCUCCAACCUCUCAUCCAACCCUGGGAUUGGAGACAGAACUGGGGCUACAGACAAGGAUGUGAUGGAUGACGCUGGUCCUGGUGCUGAAGCCGGACCUUGGCCCGAGGCUAAAGUGUUCACUGAGGCCAGAACAGCUGUUUGGACAGAAACAGAAGCAGGAGUGCGUACUUUAGCAGGUGGCAAAGUCUUUGCCGAGACUGGGAUUAUGACGGAAACAGGCGCCUGGGCUGGAGUUGGGGCCGAAUGGAGGCCGGUAGACACAGAAGGGGGUAACCUGCCAAGCAUUUCCAGGGAUCCAGCUGCCUGGUUGGGACAGCGGAGGCUACAGACGGCUGGAGAUGGCCAAAGAGAGCAGGCGGCAUUCUCAUCAGUCCUCACCAUGCUGACAGAGACGGCAGAGCUGCAGACACCAGCAGUGGGAAAACCUUUAGGGUUGCUGUCUAAAGCAGCUUGGACCAAAAGCUCCUCUUUAUCAUCAUCCAAGGCCUCCUCCCCUAUGACAAAAGCAUCCUCUCUUCCUUCCUCCUCCCCUUCCUCCUCUUCUCCAGCCACCAUCAAAGACAGUCAGACAGCAGAAUCACACAAUGUGUCUGCAGUUGUUGUCAGCAACAGCUCCUCUAACAACAGCUCCAGUUUUGAGGAGUCUGUGAGCAGCCUGCCAGCCUGGGAUCUCCCCACUGUCCCUGAAUCACUCCUGUCCACAGUGGGUGACCACGACGUCACACUUCCUGCCAAUGUCACAAGCCCUUUCUCCACCCACCAGUGGAAUACCACCAUGCCCAUACGGACCAGAAACGCCUCACGGCAGACGACCACAUCCGCCACCACCACCACCGUCAAGACAUCUCUGCCUCACACCACCUCUACCACAUCACAAACACCACUAGAAUCCACCAUGGCUUCACACAGCGCAAGCCUGGACACUGUGACUAAAAACAGCCUUCAGCUGACAACAGUAACCACGACAACACCCUCAACGACCGCUCUUACUGUGACUGCUGCUGAGGUGACCACGCAGGUGCCAACCACUGGGAGCGCUGUAACAUUACCACUGAACACCACCGCUGCUACAACUGCCCAGAAAACCACAAGCCUCAAACUCACAACAACAACUACAACGCAGCCUACAACCACACCUGCCACUAUUACUACUACCACCGCUACGGUCCCCCCAACCACCACCACCACCACCACCACUACCACUACUACACCUGCUCCCACUACCACAAAUCCACCCACUACCACUACUGCUGCAACCACUACGACCACGACUACUGCUACAACUACUACUACUACUGUCACUACCACCACAACAGCAAAGGUCCCUCCCACCACUGCAUUCAUGCCAGUGCAAACUACACCACCUCCUACCACAACUACACCACCUCCAUCCAGUACCAGCUCAGAGGAAAGUCCUCUGCCCUGCAAUGUGACGGAGAGGUUCUGGGUCAGAACAGUUCUGUCUAUUGAGCUGCGCAGGAACCGCCUGGACCUGAUCCUAAAACAGAACCUUUCCAAGGGCCUGAGCCAUGCCCUCCAGAGAGCCCUGAAUGACUCCAAUG